CAGCUGGAUUCCUCAGCCUUCAAGGCUACAUAAGGAAUGCCUCCCACCAUUUGCCUGGAUAAGACAGGACAACAGAGGCCAGGCUGCUUCCACACAGGACAAGUUUGACCCUCAUCCCCUCUCUGAGAUGGCACUGUCAGAGCAAGGGGAUUAGGAGAUGGGCCUCAGUUUCCCCAUAUGUACUUUAGGGACAUUGACUUAGACCUUUUCUGAGAACCCACUACAUUUGACACUCUCUCUGAAGCCAGUCUGCCUGGAUUUAAACCCCAGCUCUGCUAUGUUCUACCGUGUGACUUAGUAACGCCCACGAGGUAAUAUCAUGGUUGAGACAGAACUCAGUAUCUGGAGUCUGGAGGAUGAAUCCUGGACCUGAUUCAGCUGGUCGCUGGCCCACUGUAGCAUCUACUUUCUGGGUUUUGGUUUUUGCACCUGGAGGUAAUUCCUAUUUCCCCAGGCCACACAAACCAGAGGCAAAAAUUAGAUCAGAUAAUAACCCAAAAGAGAAGAAAUGGAUGUGCCAUCAGGUAUGUCAAUGUCACUGCCACUAUUGCUGUCAUUGAACCACUAUCAACACUAUUCAAUCAUUCAUGCAGCAAUGUAUUGCAUGUACAGGGAUACAAGAAUAACCAGGAAGUCACAGCCCCUGCUCUAGUGGAAGAAACAAGUUCUCAUUUGAUAAUCAAAUAAAUUAGUGUAUAAUUACAAACUUAUGUAAAUAUUCUGAAGGAAAGCAAACCAUUCUAUGAGAGCAAAUAAAGAAUAAGUUGGUUUAAAUGCUU